rnacentral:lncRNA from 1 species
GUUAACAUGUUUAUAUUGUGUUAAUGCAUGACAUUUAUUAUCAGGUUACAUUUUUUGGGGGGGAACACCAUUAAUCAAUUUAUUUUCCUCUAGGAACCUUUUUAAAGCACACGUUUCCUGCAAGGAACCUUUUCAAGCAAACGUUUCCGCUAGGAACCUUUUAAAGCACACGUUUCCGCAAGGACCCUUUUAAAGGCAGAACACAACACCGCUACAGUCAAUGUUUGUGCCUUUACAUUGAACUCCUUUACAUCGCUGAAGACCGUGUGUCUCUAGCACAAAUCAUGUCAAAGUUAUGGCCAAUAUUACCGGAGCGAUGUUCUUUCUUCCUGCCGUGGAUUUGUGCGCCAGUCGCGGGGACGCUUUCAACUACUCACGAACAAUCCAUUUUUGGGGGGGGGGGUUGAUAACAAACGACAUUGUUUAGUUAGCAAGUCAUGUUACCUAGCCUGAUAUAACUGACCACUGACUAGGCUAUGCACAAAUUUGGAUGGCACAGGAAGAACAUGAAAAAGAAUGGGCUUCUCGAAGAGAAGCUUGUAACGUCUGCUUCCCAACUCAAACUCUCAAAAAAACGUAGAUCCCCCUGAACGCAGCUCACUCUCCAGAUCCCCGACACCUGUAUUCUGAUCACCUGUUCACACACCUGUAUGUCAUUAUCACACACUAUUUAGUUCAGUUCUUUGCACACCGUCACUGUGAGGUAUUGUUUGUUUUGUGACACACUUCUAUUCGGAGCGCUGUGUUUCCCGUGAUGUAAUCAUCCUAACGACGCCUUUUUGCCUUUUCCCUGCCUGUACUUCAGCCUAUCGGAUUUCCUGUUAUCAACCUGUUGCCUGAUCACCCGGACAACGUUAGUAUCCUUUUCCCUGCCUGUAAUGUUACCUUUUUGGACCCCCUGUGUAUGACCUUCUGCCUGCCCCUGGACCCAGCUACCUGCCUCCUCCUGUGUAUGACCUUCUGCCUGCCCCUGGACCCAGCUACCUGCCCCUGGACCCAGCUACCUGCCUCCUCCUGUGUAUGACCUUCUGCCUGCCCCUGGACCCAGCUACCUACCUCCUGCUGUGUAUGACCUGCCUGCCCCUGGACCCAGCUACCUGCCUCCUCCUGUGUAUGACCUUCUGCCUGCCCCUGGACCCAGCUACCUGCCUCCUCCUGUGUAUGACCUUCUGCCUGCCCCUGGACCCAGCUACCUGCCCCUGGACCCAGCUACCUGCCUCCUCCUGUGUAUGACCUUCUGCCUGCCCCUGGACCCAGCUACCUACCUCCUGCUGUGUAUGACCUGCCUGCCCCUGGACCCAGCUACCUGCCUCCUCCUGUGUAUGACCUUCUGCCUGCCCCUGGACCCAGCUACCUGCCUCCUCCUGUGUAUGACCUUCUGCCUGCCCCUGGACCCAGCUUCCUGCCCCUGGACCCAGCUACCUGCCCCUGGACCCAGCUUCCUGCCCCUGGACCCAGCUUCCUGCCCCUGGACCCAGCUACCUGCCCCUGGACCCAGCUUCCUGCCCCUGGACCCAGCUUCCUGUCUCCUCCUGUGGUCCUUUACCUAUAAACACCUUCUGCACCCUGCUCUUGAAACCAGCUCUCUGUCUCCCAUCUUGUUCAUUACAAUGCUUCAAUGUUAGGCUGCAUAUGGAAGAGUGGGGUGAGGAUAUGUGAGAGCGGGAGUUUGUUUUGCAUGUCCCGGUGGGUGGAGAUUUCACUGAACCCUUAACCCUUAGCCAACAAUUUCCGCAGCCCCGCUGAAAUAGAAUUAACAUAAUAAUAAAAAAAUCCCUGGCAAAAUCUGUCUGUAACGCUAGAGAUAUCUGUUUUUUUCCCCCCUCAUCAAUCUACACACAAUACCCCCAUAAUGACGUCACAAUACCCCGUAAUGACGUCACAAUACCCCGUAAUGACAUCACAAUACCCCCAUAAUGACGUCACAAUACCCCGUAAUGACGUCACAAUACCCCGUAAUGACAUCACAAUACCCCCGUAAUGACGUCACAAUACCCCGUAAUGACAUCACAAUACCCCCGUAAUGACGUCACAAUACCCCCGUAAUGACAUCACAAUACCCCGUAAUGACAUCACAAUACCCCCGUAAUGACAUCACAAUACCCCGUAAUGACAUCACAAUACCCCCGUAAUGACAUCACAAUACCCCCUAAUGACGUCACAAUACCCCGUAAUGACGUCACAAUACCCCCGUAAUGACAUCACAAUACCCCCGUAAUGACGUCACAAUACCCCCGUAAUGACGUCACAAUACCCCCGUAAUGACAUCACAAUACCCCCGUAAUGACAUCACAAUACCCCCGUAAUGACAUCACAAUACCCCCGUAAUGACGAAGCAAUACCCCCAUAAUGACGUCACAAUACCCCCGUAAUGACAUCACAAUACCCCCGUAAUGACAUCACAAUACCCCCGUAAUGACAUCACAAUACCCCCGUAAUGACGAAGCAAUACCCCCAUAAUGACGUCACAAUACCCCCGUAAUGACAUCACAAUACCCCCGUAAUGACGAAGCAAUCCGAUCAAGUUGUAGAAACAUCUGAAGGAUGAUCAAUGGAAACAGGAAGCAUCUCUAUUUCGACUCUCAUAGCAAAGGUUCUGAAUACGUAUGUAAAUAAGGUAUUUCUGAGGGGUUUUUUUGUAAAUAAAUUUGCUAAUAUUUAAAAAAA